GGGAAUUGUGUGUAGUCACGGUUGAUUGAGGAUCACAGGACAGUUCUUCCCUUCCAAAAAGAAAGGAGAACAGGCAAUACCAGUUUUAAAAGCAUGAGCUGUCGUCACCUCCAGGAAGUAGUGGGAGUGCUUAGCCCUGUGUUUCUUAGGAGCUCUUCCUUAAAAGAAACCGUGGGGGCCAAAAAUAGGAACUUUGGUACCCCUGUAUGCCAGCACCCACAGGGAAGGAACCUCACCCUUUCACACAGACAAAUGGUACCAUCCAAUUAAGCCCGUGACAAAAAUGGAAAUUUCUAAAUAGCCCAAGUCUCCAGGGCAAUUGGGAACAGCUUUGAACUCACUAAGAUGGGGUCUGCUAUGCCAAAACAUAGAUAUAAAAUUUCACAGUUUGUCCUGCAUUAGGACAUUCUCUUCUUCAGCUUUGCCACUGUAGAAAGUUAGUGGAGUUAGGUCAGCGGAUGGUGCCACAUUAACAGCUGCCUUACUGAAGUGUAAUCCAGCAGGGUCUUACUGCCACUGUGACACAUGCCUUGCCUUGGGGGUGCGUUCCCCCACCUCUCCUUGCUCUGCAGCUUGUCCGAAAACCAGUCCUUGCUGAGGAUGCCCCCCUGGGAGAACAUCUGGCUCGUGGGCUCCAUCUGCCUGUCCAUGUCACUCCACUUCCUGAUCCUCUAUGUCGAACCCUUGCCACUCAUCUUCCAGAUCACACCGCUGAACGUGACCCAGUGGCUGAUGGUGCUGAAAAUCUCCUUGCCCGUGAUUCUCAUGGACGAGACGCUCAAGUUUGUGGCCCGCAACUACCUGGAACCUGGUAAAGAGUGUGUGCAGCCUGCCACCAAAUCCUGCUCGUUCUCGGCAUGCACCGAUGGGAUUUCCUGGCCGUUUGUGCUGCUCAUAAUGCCCCUGGUGAUCUGGGUCUAUAGCACAGACACUAACUUUAGCGAUAUGUUCUGGUCUUGACUGACAGUUUUCCAUAAAGAAGAUGUUUAACUUAAUUAAUUUUUUUAUUGUUUAAAGCAACUGUCUAUUUCUGCUGAAUUUUCACAUGAACAUACUGGCUGGUGACGGAGGUUUCAUACUCUAGAUUUUGUUUUGCUUUUUCUGACUCCAGUGGGGCAAGAUUUUCCUUUUUUAUACACAUAAUUAAAGUGUCCAUUGACAUGUACAGAGAACUAACACUAUUUUAUGCAAAUAUUUUUUUGUAGAUGAAAAAGCAUGUACAGUGUUCUGUUUAAUACUCAUCCUUGUAUAAAAAAAAUAGUUGAGCCAGCAGACAUUGUCAGCAAAUUAAUUGGCAGCAGAUUUUAGGAAAUGAAUGUGUGUGGUUUUUUUUCUAAAACUAAAUAGCAUGUAUUGUGUCUUUUGCAUGAUGAUCUGGAUUUAAUCUGAUAUCACAGUCUAAUUUUUAUUCAUAAGCCAAUUUUUCUGCACUGAGCAGAGUCUUGCUACCUCAGUCAGUAUUGUUUUGGUUUGCUACUUCCCUCACCCACUUUGGCCUCCGUUCACCCCACCCCACCCCCACCUCUCCCCACCUUACCCCCGCCCUGCUUGGCUUCCUCUUUAGGAUUGUGAUGGUUCGUUCUGUUUACAUCAGUUUUAACGAGAGGUAUGCCUGUACUCGCUUGUGCAGAAAACAUUGUUCCAGAUUCAAUCGACUGGGUUUAUGUCCCUUCACAUAGUUUUUAAGGUUAUUUAUUUAAAUGUCUAAUGUAUUUUAUGUAACAGACAUUGUUUUGCCAACAUUGCCUAUUUCAGUGGCACGUCACAAUCUAGUUUUAAAAAAAUAAAACAUUUUAAAUGGACAGAGAAAAAUAACUGUCUUGUCUUUAACUCUUAAGUGGCUUACCUGGGACUAACAGACAUGUCCAACUUUCUCUCCAGUUCUUAGCUCAGAACUUUAGUUGUACUCUGCUUGAGGGGAAGAAGGCUCCUGCUCUGCUGUGUAGGUAGUCAUAGGAAUUGUAUUCUUAAUGUACAGGCACUAAUUGUCAUCUGUGAUGUACAUUUUAUGCAAGUUUCUGCUGGCCUGGUAUAGAGAACAUAAGGGCGUGUGUGUGUGUGUAUGUGUGUGUUUUGUAAAAUCUGUAAAUAGCACAUGACCAAAUGAACAUAUUGUAUAGAACUAUUUUUAUUUGAAUGUGGCACUAACUACCACCACCGUUACUACGAUCAAUGUUUGCGCAUGUUCGAGAUGAGUCUCACCAACAGUAAGUCAUUAACAGUCCUAACUGUGGUGUUUUCCUCCAAUGCCUUCCAACAUCCAUCAACUAACGUGAGUAUUUUCUUCCCUGGGAUUUGGGUGCUUUAGCCUAAAGGUGACUGCCACCAAGUGAGAUAACUGUAUGUCACUAACUUAUAAGCCUCCUCCAUGGCAGACGCUACUGUGCUCCCUGAUGCCCUGUGAGCACCGGGGUUGCCUGUGGCGCCUGCCAUGUGACUCGGGCGCGGCAUCAGCUGGCUGGAGGUGUGGCUUUCAUAGACCUCCACAGGCUGCCUAGGACAAGAUGACCAGGAGGGCGCAAGCCAGACAAAAGCCAGAGUGGGGAGAGAGGCAUUUCAGCCAGACCAACAGGCUGAAGGAGCUGUGCAGACUGUAUUGCUAAAAUGAGGGUUCGCAGCUGCCAGGAGUCAUCCCAGAACAUUACUACUUAUUCAUUAAAAAGCUAAAAACUAGUGAAAGCAAGUAACUGAACCAGUGAACUUUGGGUAUCGAUAGGUUCAUCUUAAAUAGGCCACUUCCCCACUCCCCCACACCCCUUGCUUGGUCUUGUCCUUUGUGGCUAAGACUUAUCUCUGCAGGGGAUGUUAAAGCACAGUUGGUAGGACAUGGCUCUGCACAGCCCAAAAAACCAGCUUACUCCUUAGCCAGGGUGUGAGGCCUCGACUAUAUUCUUGAAAAUGUACUUAGGCUCUGGUUACUGGGAUGGCCAGUAGAUGUAAUGCAGAUGAUUGGAGUUUGGGGAGGGUUAGGAGGCAUCAAGCAGGACAAGGUGCUGCUGAGUUCAGAGGGCCACGUUCAAGGGAUGGAAGUGGAACCUGGAGACCGACUCUUAAAAGCACAGUCCGUGGUUGGGCGUGGUGGCUCAUGCCUGUAAGUCUCAGCCCUUUGGAGGCCACAGCAGAAGGACUGCUUGAGCCCAGGUACUCAAGCCAGCCUGGGCAACAGAGUGAGGCCCUGUCAAAAAAAUCAGCCUUACUGUGAAUCCUCCAAGGCUGCUUGCAGGCAGCUGUGGCUCUCGGGAAGGGAGGCUGCUUUGCCCAGCAGGGAACAUUUGGGGCAGGGGGUAAAUUUUGCCAGUUUGAGCAUCAUGAGGUGUAACAAGAAAUGGGUUGAAUGGGCCAAAUGCAAGGAGUGCAUCUCUGGGCUGCCAACUGACUUGAGUGCUGCCCUGUUGCUAUUCCGUGCAAACAAAACUCACAGCUUUUCCUGACUCAGUUCCUUGACUUAGUGGCCUUUACAAAAAAAGUUGAGUAGUGUGUGGCCUGUUGUCACACAGCCCCUGGUUAGCUUCAUGGUUUCUCAGCUUCAGACCCCUCCAGCCCACAGAGGAGCCCACGGAGGGAUCCACUUCCGUUGGUCCAGACAGCUGGGAGCGGGUUAGGCCCACUGCUGCUUUGAGCAGGGCCACUUGGUCCAUUUCACUGAAGGCUUUGCCGGGUGAAAACAUUUCAGCAUCUCCUCCUCAGUUAGGUCAACCCAUAAAGACCAGGUCCAGCACCGUGGUCUCGGCACAUCCCUGGCCUCAGGCCCUCACCUAACAAACAGUGAGGCAGCAGCUGCCCAGCCCCGCAGUGUGCCUGCUGUCAGGUGGCUCUUCCCUGAAACUUAUUUCCACAUUCUUUCCUGAUGGGCAGGUGGCUGAAGGCCCAGCCAUCAGUGUCACUUGUUGCCACCCUGUGCCUCCCUUGGCCUCUCUGAGCUUUGCCCAGACGACCAACAAUCAUACAUACCCUAACUGGGACACCACUCUGUAGAAAGCAGAUGAUCCAUUCUGGAGGAAGCUGUCCCUUGAGCUCAGUGAGCUCCCAGGCAAGCAGGGCAUCUGGCCGACUUCCCUCACAACAGCUGCUCCCACAUCCCCUCGGACUGGACCUUCAACCCUGACUGAGGCGGGCAAACCUAGGAAGACCUGAGACCACAAGCAUUAGCUCAGUGUCUAUCAAGCAUCUAGCCACUGUCCAGGGCCAGAGCAUACCACAUAUGCAGUGCCUGUGAGCAGAGGCAGCAGUUGCUCUGUGACUGUAACCACCAAAUUGUCCAAACACCCCCUGCAGUUAGCGAGAAGGGUAGGCUUCACCCUCCUUUACUGAGGAGAAUGAUGCGGAGGAGUUUCCCCUCCAGGGCUGGGCUAGGCAAGGCAGGCCAGCAGCAAGAAGCCGGGUGCCCACAGGGCAGGGACAGGAAGGCUGUGCUGCUUACUGGCUGCUCACUUCUCCAUCAACCUCACCCUCUGCACCACUAACCAAGACCUUGUCCUCUUGCCUGUCUCGCUGCUUUCACAGCUGCAAUGAUUGUGUCUGCCUCGUGGGGUUUUCCUCCAGAGCCUUCAUUCUGUAGCCAGACAACACGAGGAGUCUGUGUCACUGAGCCAGUGCUUCUAGAUGCUACCCUGUGUGGGCGGCACCUCAGGGACAGUAAAUCAGAAAUGCUGGUCUUGAAACCUUGAAAAGAUCAAGCUGAAUGUUCCUUUUCAUCUGUCGCUGUUGAUCUUCAUCUAUUUAAAUGGGUAUUCUAACGUUUCCUCUCUGUAUUUCAUGAAGCUGAUUUCCUCUCUCUUUCCUUUUCAGCAAUACUGGAGUAACCGCUUCCUAAAGCAUUUUGCAGAAAUGUAAGGGUGUUCGGUUGCGUGCAUGUGCGUUUUUAGCAACACAUCUACCAACCCUCUGCAUGAUUGAUGUUGGGGAAAAAGAAAAGUAAAAAAGUUCCCAACUCUAUGUGUUAUGUGGAGGAAAUGUGUAUUACCAAUGGGGUUGUUAGCUUUUAAAUCAAAAUAAUGAUUACAGAUGUACAAUUUAGCUUAAUCAGAAAGCCUCUCCAGAGAAGUUUGGUUUCUUUGCUGCAAGAGGAAUGAGGCUCUGUAACCUUAUCUAAGAACUUGGAAGCCGUCAGCCAAGUCGCCGCAUUUCUCUGCAAAAUGUCAUAGCUUAUAUAAAUGUACAGUAUUCAAUUGUAAUGCAUGCCUUCAGUUCUAAGUAGCCAGAUUCCUCUCCAGUGACAUUGGAACAUGCUACUUUUUAAUUGGCCCUGUACAGUUUGCUUAUUUAUAAAUUCAUUAAAAACACUACAGGUGUUGAAUGGUUAAAAUGUAGGCCUCCAGUUCAUUUUCAGUUAUUUUCUGAGUGUGCAGACAGCUAUUUCGCACUGUAUUAAAUGUAACUUAUUUAAUGAAAUCAGAAGCAGUAGACAGAUGUUGGUGCAAUACAAAUAUUGUGAUGCAUUUAUCUUAAUAAAACGCUAAAUGUCAAUUUAUCACUGUGCAUGUUUGACUUUAGACUGUAAAUAGAGAUCAGUUUGUUUCUUUCUGUGCUGGUAACAAUGAGCGUCGCACAGACAUGGUUUCAGGUAAAUAAAUCUAUUCUAUGAUAAA
rnacentral:sRNA from 1 species